GAGAAGCAGGCUUCCCGCCGAGCAGGGAGCCCGAUGCGGGGCCCGAUCCCAGGACCCUGGGAUCAUGUCCUGAGCCGAAGGCAGACGCUUAACGACUGAGCCACCCAGGCACACCUCCUGUGAUGGUUCUUGACAUUAGGGUGUGAGGCACCAUUUCCAAGGAGUGGAAGUCAGUGUUGGUACUUUGCUGACCUAAAGUGUGAGAGGACCCUUCUGCUCACCAGGUACAAAGACCAUGAUGGGAGUUGGGGUGAGUGACGCAUGGAGAAGGAGGUGAAUGCCCCCAUUUCCUCAGGGCCCCUCACAUUGAGUAAGCCCCUCUCCAUUAGGAGGAGGCCUCCAAGAAGUCUGCUGGACCCACUGUCUCCCCAUUUUCUAUCAGCUAAGUUUCCCUCCUGAGCUUUGGGUAGGGGGGCUGAUGAACACAGGAGGAGAGCAGCUUAGGGCCCUGAAGUGGGAGAGGGGUUGUGGGGGGAAGGGCGCGAGGAGAGUGCUGGGUUCCUGUCGGGUGGGAUGGAGACACACGCACCCUGUGCUGGCUGUUGGAUCCCAGGAAUAUUGGUGGUUUCUGCAUUUACAUUCCAGGGUGGGUGGCACAGGGGGCCAGGGACUGUAGGCUGACUGUCAUGGAGGGCAAGACGGGCAAGCAGGGGACUGCUAUCUUGUUUGUUCCAAGGGCCUGAGGAGCAGAACAGAUUGUCUAGAGGUUUUGUGCUCUUUCCCUGGGACGAAGUGUCCAAGGCUUCCAGGUUGUCCAAGCUCCAGGCUCAAAUAAAGUGUGCUGAGGAAGCGGUGGCCACUUGAGGAUCAGGCCGGAAGAGCCUGGCUCCUGUACUAUCAGAAGACAAGAUUCAGAGACUAGAUGGGAUGGCCAUCACCCUCUUCAUCUCCUGAGAUCUGCUUGCAGACUCCACAGGGAGUUAACGGUUGCUAUGGUGACACAGGCACACCAGGACCAAAGCUGCAGGACAUGCCCAGUGCACUCAAGGUUGUCAACUGCUGCACCGACCUAUUAACUAAGGCCCUCCACACAUAGCACCUGAGUCGGGGCUUUUAAUGAGUGCCAGGUGACCUCCAGUUUGGCUCUAACAGUCCAGGAGCUCUGAGUCACGUUUCAUGCAGGAUUUCUUGCAGGAGCAUUUUGGGAAGGACUCGCGCUGCUUGCUGCUCAGGAUGUAAUGACGGGGAGUGGGCGCUUUUGCACCCUGCAUCUCUCACAUAACAGAUGAUAGCAUUUAUGGAAGCCUUGCUAUGUGCCAGUGCCCUAUCUUUGUGGGUCAGCCUGAGACAAGGCUUUGUUCCAAGGGGCUCUCAGGAGCAGGAAAGGCCAUCUGAGGUCUGAAGUUACAGGAUCCUCUAAGCAGCCCUGGGAGGCAGGCGGGACAAGGAUUAACAUCCCUUUUUAACCAUGAGGUCACACGGCAAGUUGGGUGACAGAGUCCCAGCCCACACGCAGGUCUCUGGACCCCACACCCAGCGCUCCAUCCUCUGUUUGAUGCUGUCUUCUCUUGCAUUUCACCCCAUGACUUCAGCCCAACAUUUGUAAAACUUUCCCAUAGAAACAUCCCUGAUGCCGGAGGGGAAUGAACAUCCUGGAAAUGCAAAAUUACUACCAGAUUCUGUGUUUUAUCUAAAUAAAAAAAUUCAUUCAAACUAUGAAUUCUAAUUCAAUAAUUGUCAUAUUUA